UCCGGUUUGUCACCGGCAGUCUCCUUAGAGUUCCCACCAUUACGUGCUGGCAACUAAGGACAAGGGUUGCGCUCGUUGCGGGACUUAACCCAACAUCUCACGACACGAGCUGACGACAGCCAUGCAGCACCUGUCUCUCGGUUCCCGAAGGCACCAAGGCAUCUCUGCCAAGUUCCGAGGAUGUCAAGGCCAGGUAAGGUUCUUCGCGUUGCAUCGAAUUAAACCACAUGCUCCACCGCUUGUGCGGGCCCCCGUCAAUUACUUUGAGUUUCAACCUUGCGGCCGUACUCCCCAGGCGGAGAACUUAACGCGUUAGCUACGUCACCGGAUGGCUGACCCUCCCGACGACUAGUUCUCAUCGUUUACGGCGUGGACUAC
rnacentral:misc_RNA from 1 species